rnacentral:pre_miRNA from 1 species
AGAAUACUCUCUCCGUCCGAAAAUACUUGUCAUUGAAAUGGAUGUAUCUAGAUGUAUUUUAGUUCUAGACACAUCCAUUUUGAUGACAAGUAAUUCCGGACGGAGGGAGUAUUAU